AAAUAGUUGAUUGAAUGAAGGAGAGGCCCUGGCUUUGUCUUAUUGUUUCGGAAUCAUGUGUUUAAUAGCUCCUUUGCUUCCAGAAAUUACCUUCUGUUGCUGGAUAUGUCUGCAAUGGAAUUUGCUGAACAGCAUAACUUUGCUUUUAUGGGCAUUCACUUGUAGGACAGUUAAUAAUAUCCUGUGCCUGCCUCCUCACUGGGCCGUGACAAGGCUGCUCGGGAGACUCAAAAAGAAGGCUUCUGUGCUCCUCUCUGGGGAGAGUUCCUGCUUCAAGUCACAGCUGGUAUGAGAACUGGGAAAGAACAUGGAUGUGGAGUGGGAAGACGUGAAUAAGCUACAAGUGAGAGACUUGAAAGGCAGAAACUGAAAUUGUCAGACAGGACAUAAUGAUACCCUCACUGCAUAUUCCCUAGAUUUUGAAGCCUGAGGGUCCAACUUCCUCUUCUCCUCAUUUGAUCAGAUCAAUCAAAAACUCAGAAUUAAUUUUUCUUCCAAAGGGGGAGCAUGUCACACUUUACCUCCUAUAUUAAAGGAAUACCUGGAAUUAGGUUCAAUAGUGGAUUGAAUCCAUAUUCCUGCCUCCUAUUCAUCUCAAUGAAAAAUGAUGUCUCUAACAGUGCUGGAAAAUAAGAAGAGGUGUUUGGUGUUUUUGGUGGACCAGAAAGUGAGAAACUCCUAAAAGAUGGAAAAUAGCCAGGAAGAACUACAGUCCACAACUUUCAACAGAGAACUGCUACCAAAGAUGGGAGUGGCUUUGGAGGGGUUUCAGAAGAAAAUUUAAGAAGUAGGAGGUAGCUUUGUGGAAGCUCCCAGGGAAAGGACUGGGGCACCUGACUUGGAGCAGCUGGGUUCUGUGCCUAGCAGUGGCAAGGAGAGGUGCAUACCCCAGGAAGGAGCCACAUGUGGAAUGCUCCAGAGACGGAGCAGAUGUCCUUGUGGCUGCCACACCACGAGAAACCAGGAGCCCAGAAGCCCUGCUCCUGUGACAGUCUGCUGGAAGCUCAUCCUGCCCUCCUCUCACCAUCUCAGGAGGCAUGCUGUGGUAAAACCUGUGGAGAAAAAUUAUAGAGACCUUCUAAUGUUCUUUAUGAGAUUUUGAGUACCAUCUAAUUUUUUUAACUUAUGUGAAAGCAUUACUUGGACAGCA
rnacentral:lncRNA from 1 species